ensembl:rRNA 5S_rRNA 5S ribosomal RNA
GUCUACGGCCAUAGCAACCACCUGAUCUCGUCUGACUUCGGAAGCUAAGCAGGGUUGGGCCUGGUUAGUACUUGGGUGGGAGAGAUGAGACACAGAUACGUCGUCUGAAAGACAAGGAACUGCCAGGCC